UGAGGGAUAUUGGGCAAUGGGGGAAACCCUGACCCAGCGACGCCGCGUGAGGGAAGACGGUCUUCGGAUUGUAAACCUCUGUCUUUGGGGACGAAGAAGGACGGUACCCAAGGAGGAAGCUCCGGCUAACUACGUGCCAGCAGCCGCGGUAAUACGUAGGGAGCGAGCGUUGUCCGGAAUUACUGGGUGUAAAGGGAGCGUAGGCGGGAUUGCAAGUUGGAUGUGAAAACUGCGGGCUCAACCCGGAGAGUGCUUCAAAACUGCGAUUCUUGAGUGAAGUAGAGGCAAGCGGAAUUCCUAGUGUAGCGGUGAAAUGCGUAGAUAUUAGGAGGAACACCAGUGGCGAAGGCGGCUUGCUGGGCUUUUACUGACGCUGAGGCUCGAAAGUGUGGGGAGCAAACAGGAUUAGAUACCC
rnacentral:rRNA from 1 species